rnacentral:hammerhead_ribozyme from 1 species
AUUUGGCUAACGAGCCCCAAAUAGGGCUAAAUGCGCAUUCUGGAU